AUUGAACGCUGGCGGUAGGCUUAAUACAUGCAAGUCGAGGGGUAGCAAGAUUGUAGCAAUACAAUUGUUGACGACCGGCAAACGGGUGCGGAACACGUACACAACCUUCCUACAAGUGGGGAAUAGCCCAGAGAAAUUUGGAUUAAUACCCCGUAACAUAGCGAUGUGGCAUCACAUUGCUAUUAUAGCUUCGGCGCUUGUUGAUGGGUGUGCGGCUGAUUAGAUAGUUGGCGGGGUAACGGCCCACCAAGUCUACGAUCAGUAGCUGAUGUGAGAGCAUGAUCAGCCACACGGGCACUGAGACACGGGCCCGACUCCUACCGGAGGCAGCAGUAAGGAAUAUUGUACAAUGGACACAAGUCUGAUCCAGCCCUGCCGCGUGAAGGAUUAAGUUCCUCUGGAUUGUAAACUUCUUUUAUAAGGGACGAAAAAAGGUCUUUCUAGAUCGUCCGACGGUACCUUAUGAAUAAGCACCGUCUAACUCCGUGCCAGCCGCCGCAGUAACAC
rnacentral:rRNA from 1 species